GCGAGUCUAUCUACACGUUGGUUGUUUGAACAUUUUUUUUAAUUUAGUGAAAUAAAAAGUCAAAAUUUACAAUCAACCUUUUCAUGCAUUUUCAUAUCGAUGUGUCAAUUUGUUUGGAUUAAAAAAAAACAACUUUUAAAUUUAGAGUCAGUGUAAGUCGCAAAAUCUCAAAAUCUGUCGAUAAAAGAGCAGAAGUAGCAUUUGACGUUUUAUCAGUUGCAACAUUAGACUUAAUAUCGGUGUAUAUUGUUACAAGGACAAAGGGGCAGUGGAAGUUUCUUGCCAUCCUGUCAGUCAUGGCCGUAGACUGCUGUACCUGCAUGCCCCACCGCUAUUUUAUCGUCAUGAUGUGCUCCAUUGGUAUGCUGAUCAGUGUCGGAUAUAGAACCAGCUUUUCUCUCGUGGUGACCCACAUUGAUCUCGUGGACAACACUAGUUCAAGUAUCUCUAAGGACUCGGACUCCUUCUUCCCGAGCUGCAGCACCAAGAACACAACGCGCGACAAGGUCGUCAACUGGAAAGGUUCAACUACACUUUUGUUUGGUACUUUCUAUUUCAUUGGUC
rnacentral:sRNA from 1 species